rnacentral:rRNA from 1 species
GGUUGCGAUCAUACCAGCACUAAUGCACCGGAUCCCAUCAGAACUCCGCAGUAAGCGUGCUUGGCGAGAGUAGUACUAGGAUGGGUGACCCCCUGGAAGUCCUCGUGUUGCAACCCC